ACGGACGAGAAGCUUGCUUCUCUGAUGUUAGCGGCGGACGGGUGAGUAACACGUGGAUAACCUACCUAUAAGACUGGGAUAACUUCGGGAAACCGGAGCUAAUACCGGAUAAUAUUUUGAACCGCAUGGUUCAAAAGUGAAAGACGGUCUUGCUGUCACUUAUAGAUGGAUCCGCGCUGCAUUAGCUAGUUGGUAAGGUAACGGCUUACCAAGGCAACGAUGCAUAGCCGACCUGAGAGGGUGAUCGGCCACACUGGAACUGAGACACGGUCCAGACUCCUACGGGAGGCAGCAGUAGGGAAUCUUCCGCAAUGGGCGAAAGCCUGACGGAGCAACGCCGCGUGAGUGAUGAAGGUCUUCGGAUCGUAAAACUCUGUUAUUAGGGAAGAACAUAUGUGUAAGUAACUGUGCACAUCUUGACGGUACCUAAUCAGAAAGCCACGGCUAACUACGUGCCAGCAGCCGCGGUAAUACGUAGGUGGCAAGCGUUAUCCGGAAUUAUUGGGCGUAAAGCGCGCGUAGGCGGUUUUUUAAGUCUGAUGUGAAAGCCCACGGCUCAACCGUGGAGGGUCAUUGGAAACUGGAAAACUUGAGUGCAGAAGAGGAAAGUGGAAUUCCAUGUGUAGCGGUGAAAUGCGCAGAGAUAUGGAGGAACACCAGUGGCGAAGGCGACUUUCUGGUCUGUAACUGACGCUGAUGUGCGAAAGCGUGGGGAUCAAACAGGAUUAGAUACCCUGGUAGUCCACGCCGUAAACGAUGAGUGCUAAGUGUUAGGGGGUUUCCGCCCCUUAGUGCUGCAGCUAACGCAUUAAGCACUCCGCCUGGGGAGUACGACCGCAAGGUUGAAACUCAAAGGAAUUGACGGGGACCCGCACAAGCGGUGGAGCAUGUGGUUUAAUUCGAAGCAACGCGAAGAACCUUACCAAAUCUUGACAUCCUUUGACAACUCUAGAGAUAGAGCCUUCCCCUUCGGGGGACAAAGUGACAGGUGGUGCAUGGUUGUCGUCAGCUCGUGUCGUGAGAUGUUGGGUUAAGUCCCGCAACGAGCGCAACCCUUAAGCUUAGUUGCCAUCAUUAAGUUGGGCACUCUAAGUUGACUGCCGGUGACAAACCGGAGGAAGGUGGGGAUGACGUCAAAUCAUCAUGCCCCUUAUGAUUUGGGCUACACACGUGCUACAAUGGACAAUACAAAGGGCAGCGAAACCGUGAGGUCAAGCAAAUCCCAUAAAGUUGUUCUCAGUUCGGAUUGUAGUCUGCAACUCGACUACAUGAAGCUGGAAUCGCUAGUAAUCGUAGAUCAGCAUGCUACGGUGAAUACGUUCCCGGGUCUUGUACACACCGCCCGUCACACCACGAGAGUUUGUAACACCCGAAGCCGGUGGAGUAACCUUU
rnacentral:rRNA from 1 species